UACGAAGGGUGCAAGCGUUACUCGGAAUUACUGGGCGUAAAGCGUGCGCAGGCGGUUAUGCAAGGCAGAUGUGAAAUCCCCGGGCUUAACCUGGGAACUGCAUUUGUGACUGCAUGGCUGGAGUGCGGCAGAGGGGGAUGGAAUUCCGCGUGUAGCAGUGAAAUGCGUAGAGAUGUGGAGGAACACCGAUGGCGAAGGCAGCCCCCUGGGCUAACACUGACGCUCAUGCACGAAAGCGUGGGGAGCAAACAGG
rnacentral:rRNA from 1 species